rnacentral:snRNA from 1 species
GUGUUCAUGGCAACAGCAGGCAUCCUAAAACUGACAGGAUAGAAGAUUAGCAUAGCCCUGCACAUGGAUGACAUGCAAAUCCAUCAGGCCUUACAUAUUUCC